rnacentral:rRNA from 1 species
AGUGAACGCUGGCGGUAGGCCUAACACAUGCAAGUCGAACGGCAGCACAGUAAGAGCUUGCUCUUACGGGUGGCGAGUGGCGGACGGGCGAGGAAUACAUCGGAAUCUACUUUUUCGUGGGGGAUAACGUAGGGAAACUUACGCUAAUACCGCAUACGACCUACGGGUGAAAGCAGGGGAUCUUCGGACCCUGCGCGAUUGAAUGAGCCGAUGUCGGAUUAGCUAGUUGGCGGGGUAAAGGUCCACCAAGGCGACGAUCCGUAGCUGGUCUGAGAGGAUGAUCAGCCACACUGGAACUGAGACACGGUCCAGACUCCUACGGGAGGCAGCAGUGGGGAAUAUUGGACAAUGGGCGCAAGCCUGAUCCAGCCAUACCGCGUGGGUGAAGAAGGCCUUCGGGUUGUAAAGCCCUUUUGUUGGGAAAGAAAAGCAGCAGGUUAAUACCCCGCUGUUCUGACGGUACCCAAAGAAUAAGCACCGGCUAACUUCGUG